CCUACGGGCGGCACCAGUGGGGAAUAUUGCGCAAUGGGCGCAAGCCUGAUGCAGCCAUGCCGCGUGUGUGAAGAAGGCCUUCGGGUUGUAAAGCACUUUCAGCGGGGAGGAAGGCGAUAAGGUUAAUAACCUUGUCGAUUGACGUUACCCGCAGAAGAAGCACCGGCUAACUCCGUGCCAGCAGCCGCGGUAAUACGGAGGGUGCAAGCGUUAAUCGGAAUUACUGGGCGUAAAGCGCACGCAGGCGGUCUGUCAAGUCGGAUGUGAAAUCCCCGGGCUUAACCUGGGAACUGCAUUCGAAACUGGCAGGCUAGAGUCUUGUAGAGGGGGGUAGAAUUCCAGGUGUAGCGGUGAAAUGCGUAGAGAUCUGGAGGAAUACCGGCGGCGAAGGCGGCCCCCUGGACAAAGACUGACGCUCAGGUGCGAAAGCGUGGGGAGCAGACGGGAUUAGAUACCCUUGUAGUC
rnacentral:rRNA from 1 species